rnacentral:rRNA from 1 species
GGGGUUAGCUCUUCGGAGCGAAGCUCUUGAUCGAAGCCCCAGUAAACGGCGGCCGUAACUAUAACGGUCCUAAGGUAGCGAAAUUCCUUGUCGGGUAAGUUCCGACCUGCACGAAUGGCGUAACGACGGCCCCGCUGUCUCCACCCGAGACUCAGUGAAAUUGAAAUCGCUGUGAAGAUGCAGCGUUCCCGCGGCAAGACGGAAAGACCCCGUGAACCUUUACUACAGCUUCACACUGGACUUUGAGCAUGCUUGUGCAGGAUAGGUAGGAGGCUUCGAAACCUGAUCGCCAGAUCGGGUGGAGCCAUCCUUGAGAUACUACCCUUGCAUGUUUGAGGUUCUAACCUAGGCCCGUGAUCCGGGUCAGAGACAGUGUGUGGUGGGUAGUUUGACUGGGGCGGUCUCCUCCCAAAGAGUAACGGAGGAGUGCGAAGGUACCCUCGGCGCGGUCGGAAAUCGCGCUAUGAGUAUAAAAGCACAAGGGUGCCUGACUGCGAGACUGACAAGUCGAGCAGGGGCGAAAGCCGGCUUUAGUGAUCCGGUGGUUCUGUAUGGAAGGGCCAUCGCUCAACGGAUAAAAGGUACUCCGGGGAUAACAGGCUGAUACCUUCCAAGAGUUCAUAUCGACGGCGGUGUUUGGCACCUCGAUGUCGGCUCAUCACAUCCUGGGGCUGUAGCCGGUCCCAAGGGUAUGGCUGUUCGCCAUUUAAAGUGGUACGCGAGCUGGGUUUAGAACGUCGUGAGACAGUUCGGUCCCUAUCUGCCGUGGGCGUUUGAGACUUGAGGGAAGCUGCUCCUAGUACGAGAGGACCGGAGUGGACGAUCCGCUGGUGUUCCGGUUGUAUCGCCAGAUGCAUUGCCGGGUAGCUACGAUCGGAAGGGAUAACCGCUGAAAGCAUCUAAGCGGGAAGCCCCUCCCAAGAUGAGGUCUCACGGACCCUAGAGGUCCCUAAAGGGCCCUGGAAGACUACCAGGUUGAUAGGCUGGGUGUGGAAGCACAGCAAUGUGUGGAGCUAACCAGUACUAAUUGCCCGUGUGGCUUGGUCAU